AUUGAACGCUGGCGGCAUGCUUUACACAUGCAAGUCGAACGGUAACAGGCCUUCGGGUGCUGACGAGUGGCGAACGGGUGAGUAAUGCAUCGGAACGUACCCAGAGGUGGGGGAUAACGCAGCGAAAGCUGUGCUAAUACCGCAUGUGAUCUGAGGAUGAAAGCGGGGGACCGCGCAGCAAUGUUUGGCCUCGCGCCUUUGGAGCGGCCGAUGUCGGAUUAGCUAGUUGGUGGGGUAAAGGCCUACCAAGGCGACGAUCCGUAGCUGGUCUGAGAGGACGACCAGCCACACUGGGACUGAGACACGGCCCAGACCCCUACGGGAGGCAGCAGUGGGGAAUUUUGGACAAUGGGCGCAAGCCUGAUCCAGCAAUGCCGCGUGCGGGAAGAAGGCCUUCGGGUUGUAAACCGCCUUUGGCAGGAACGAAACGGUGUCCGCUAAUACCGGGCGCUAAUGACGGUACCUGCAGAAUAAGCACCGGCUAACUACGUG
rnacentral:rRNA from 1 species